rnacentral:tRNA from 1 species
GUGGGUACAGCUUAGUGGUAGAGCACAUGCUUGGCAUGCAUGAGGUCUUGAGUUCAAUCCCCCAUGCCUCUG